rnacentral:rRNA from 1 species
UACGUAGGGGGCGAGCGUUGUCCGGAAUCAUUGGGCGUAAAGAGCGUGUAGGUAGCCCGGUAAGUCCGCCGUGAAAGUCCAGGGCUCAACCCUGGAAAGCCGGUGGAUACUGUCGGGCUGGAGUCCGGAAGAGGCGAGUGGAAUUCCUGGUGUAGCGGUGAAAUGCGCAGAUAUCAGGAGGAACACCAAUGGCGAAGGCAGCUCGCUGGGACGGUACUGACACUGAGACGCGAAAGCGUGGGGAGCAAACAGG